CUUUCUUUUCAUCGUUUUUUCUUUUCGCAUCUUCAUUCAGAAAAAGAGAAGAAGACCUUCUUCAUCUUCAUUCAGAAAUUGGGGACUUCCAUGAAAGCAUCUCCUUCGUUCUCCUCGAUUAACUAUGAAAUUGAGAAAGAAAAUCUAUGAAAACAUCCCUCUUCUUCGUUCUCCUCGAUUAAUUUAACGUACAACAAAAAUAGUGCAACACGAAGAUUUUGGUGGUAGCAGAUGAACUAGAAAAAAUGAAGAGACUUCCCAAACCUAUCGAUGGAGAGUAACCUCCCUGAUCUCUGUCGAAGUCCUAGACUAAUCGAGCCAGAGCGCCUUUCAGAAUUCAAUGCAACAGAAAAUGCUGAAGACAAGCAAUGUCAUACUCAUGAUCAAUCAUUUAACACACUAGAGAGGAUCAGAGGAGGUGUAGCAAUCAAAAUCUAUGGCGUUCGAUUAGAGUAAAAUGGAAUCCAAGAUUCAGAGUGAAGCUUGAUGAAGAGAGUGGUUUAAUAGUUAAAGUCUUUGCUUUUGUCUUUUCCGAAGAGGAGCAACAAUGCUGUUGCAAGGGAAAAGACAAGCUAUGGUUACAUAGGCAAAGCAACAACAAUGCCAAAUUGUGCAAGACAUUAGAAAUUGAUGGCAGAAAUUUUUUUAGGGUAGUUUGGUUGUUGCAAGGAGGGCAAUAAGCCUGUAUUAAGACGUUUUUGCCUGGAAGCAAUAAUAAAAAAAAUAAAAUUGUAUCAUAUCAUUAUCGUGCUUUUGUAAUCAUAAAUGUCAAAGCACAAGUACUUCCAUUUUCCGGCUUUUUUGUGCAGAAUUUUAUGGUUCAGGCGGCAGGCUCAUCGCGCGUGCGUGUUAUACUAGUGAAAAUAGGAGGAAGUGGAAAUAAGAAGCAUACGACCCGAAGGUUAAAAAAAGGACAAAAAUGGAAAGAGCAGAAUUCGUUGAUGGACCCUGAUGGGCGUAAGAUUGAAAGGGGCAUAAUUAUAAUUAUUGUAUGAUAAGGUACUUGUGAAGCCCAUCAAAACAAGGGGCAAUUAUAUAAUUACCACUAAUUUAUUUCUCA